rnacentral:rRNA from 1 species
GACAGAGGGUGCAAACGUUGUUCGGAAUUACUGGGCGUAAAGCGCGUGUAGGCGGUGUGGUAAGUCGGAUGUGAAAGCCCCGGGCUCAACCCGGGAAGUGCACUCGAUACUGCCACGCUAGAGUAUCGGAGAGGUUGGUGGAAUUCUCGGUGUAGAGGUGAAAUUCGUAGAUAUCGAGAGGAACACCGGUGGCGAAGGCGGCCAACUGGACGAAUACUGACGCUGAGGAGCGAAAGCGUGGGGAGCGAACAGG